UACGUAGGGACCAAGCGUUGUUCGGAUUUACUGGGCGUAAAGAGCUCGUAGGCGGCUUGAUAAGUCGGAUGUGAAACCUCCAGGCUCAACCUGGAGUCGCCAUCCGAUACUGUCAUAGCUAGAGUCCGGUAGGGGCCCACGGAACUCCUGGUGUAGCGGUGAAAUGCGCAGAUAUCAGGAAGAACACCGGUGGCGAAGGCGGGUCUCUGGGCCGUUACUGACGCUGAGGAGCGAAAGCGUGGGGAGCGAACAGG
rnacentral:rRNA from 1 species